GUUUAAUAGUACAUGUAUAUUAAUGCAUAAAUCGAAUACAGGUAAACAUGCAUUAUAACGAUUGCAUUUUCAUAAUUAUAGCGAUUGAAUUUCAGUUCGUUUUGGCUUGGGAUUUAUCAAGAACAGUGGAAAUAGUAUCACAGACAUGCGGAUCCAGCGUUAACCUUCACUCUGUGGAGUCCGUUGAUAUCUCCUAUACAGGCGGCCAAGUGUCCCCACAUCUGGACGAGGACUGCUUUGUCAAAAAAGAUAACAAAGACCCUCUCGUGGAAACAAUGUGCUUCGAUGUGAUUUCGAUGGAUAUCAAAACGUGUGAAACUGCUGUUAGUGUCUCCAGUGGAGUCGGUUUAUUAUUGGACCCAGUGAAGUCGUGGAGUUGCUAUCAUUCUGUGUGCUGUGAUUGGUGUGGAAAGCAGAAGACGAGCUUUUUGUACGUGAAGGUCUCCACGAGCAACCUAUACCCAAAGGCCAAUGUCACGUUGCGUGUCUACCUAAAGACGUGUACGUAUAUUUGAGCGUGAAGGUUUAAACCAAGUUGCCUAGGAUAUGAAGCCAUGUGAAAAAAAAAUGUUUGAAAAAUAGUUGGGUUUACCGGUGGUUGAUUGAGCGUCAAUCGGAGCUCUUCGGCCAUUUUUUUCGAAAACAUCCUCGGAUGUAUGCCAGUACAUCAGUAGAAGUAGUUCGGGUUUUUUUUUCUAAAUUAUAUCAAGAGUAAAUUCAUUAAGUUUUACUGCUUAAUUAAAUUAUUAUGCGAUCUACUUGCAGCGGACUAAAAUAUACCGAUAUCUGAGUAUGUAAACCGUCUUAAUACAUCCGAGGUUGUUUUCGAGAAAAAUGGCCGAGGAGAUCCGAAUGAUUAAGUGUACGUUUCAAUUCAAAGACAAUUAAGGGUUGAAUUGAUUCAUAAAAAUAACUGUAUACGGUGAACUUUGCCUGUAUGUUACCUUAAACAAAUAAGUUGUAUUACAUAACUUCCUUUAUAAUAUAAAUCACCGGUCAAUAUUUUUUGCUUUAUGACCAUUCAAUACUUUGAUAGCCGGACAAUACAAUAGGUCGGUAGCCGGACAUUAGUUUCGAACUUUCUUGUGGGUAAAAUAGUAUCUUUCGGUGGAUCGGAUUAUAAGUAUUUUCCAUGGCCGAGAGUGUAAGAUAGGUUCAUUCUCCCACCUCAGAUAGGUUGAUCCAAUAAUUUAACCAUGCUAGAUAUUCUUAUCUUGCCCACGGGCGAAGAUAAAAUGCCUCUGGUGACGUAUCUUCGGGUGUGAUAGUUGGUAUAGUUGUGGUGCUGAUAUGUUUAAAUGUUGCUGGAUUAACUUUUUGGGUACGAAAGAGGAGGCAACGCCGUAGCCGCCAAUUAAGCGUCACCAUUGACUCACAGCCACAAAGGACGAUAGAAUCCGUUCAACCAACAGUCCAGCCCUCCUGCACCACAGGAUACAGUCUAGUACCAGACUUCGACCCACACAGUCUACACGUCGACUCUAUAAGUCCACUAGCUACUCCAGACAUGCAAUGUGCUAGUCAACAAAUGCCGCGCAACAGUCCACAAAUGCCGCGCAAUAGUCCACACAUGCCCCGGAGUAGUCCACACAUGCAGCGCGCUAGUCCACAAAUGCCGCGCAAUAGUCCACACAUGCCCCGGAGUAGUCCACACAUGCAGCGCGCUAGUCCACAAAUGCCGCGCAAUAGUCCACACAUGCCGCGGAGUAGUUCACACAUGACGCGCAGUUAUCCAUCUGCCCCACCAAUGGAAGUUUAUUCAAGAACAACGCAACUGCAUGACGAGGACGAUUCUGCUCCACCUUCGUACGAAGAAUAUAUGAGAACUGCGAAGGAGAAUUAGAAUAAUUUCUCUCAGAUUAAAAACUACCCUUUUUCGUCACCAGUCGCAUGAACGGGGAAGUGUGAACAAACCGGACUUAAAGCUGCACUCUCACAUAUUGACAGAUUUGACAACUAUUUCAUUUUUUUUGUUGUCUCAGAAUCAGCUGAUUUUGGCAUCAAUGUUUUCAAAUCAGUCAAAGGAUAAAACACAAUAAAACAAAUUUCAAUUGUUUGGAACAAUGCCGAUAUUUUAAAUGUUAGUUUCUCUUUAAGCCAUAAAGCAUCAGUUUCCGAACGUAAAUAUGAACAACUGCGAACUGAUCUUUUAUCAGCAGUCAUAUAUCGCAUGUUUGAAGACAUUUACGCAAAAUUUUGGUUAUUCCAAGACAAAAAAUAAAAAGUUGGUCUACAUGUGAGAGUGCAGCUUUAAAUAUUGGAUUAAAAUGGUUUAGGGGCAGGGCCUCCUCCUUUUUACUUCUAUAAUUUUGAAAAAAAAAAUAAAAAAAAAUCAACAUUUAAAUCUCGGGACCAGUAUAAACUAUUGUAUGAUUUUAGCUGUCAUUUGCAUUGCAUUUUUUUUCUUGGAAAUAUUUGGUAAAUCUUUUUAUGUACCUAGUUAAAAUAUAAUUUUAUUAUGUCAUAAUUCGGUGACCUCAUACAUUUCAUGUCCUACAAAAGAUCAUGUUUUUCACACACACGUCCGGCAUGCAAGAAGCUCAAUAUAGAAAUACAAGAUUUAACAACAAUCUUGCCCUUAACCACUGGCACCGGAUUUUUAAACUCAAACAUUUUAUUUUUAAAUAUUAAAAAACCCUCGUCAAACUGUAUUACUGGUGUGACAAUAGCCAUGUACAAUACAGCCGGGAGAAACAAUAUCAAGACCACCCGUUUUGCAAGCCCUUCCAAUGAAAAUAGUUCAAUGUUGUUGUUGUUGUUGUUGUUGUUGUUGUUGUUUUGAUUAUUAAAUAUCAGCUAUUAUUUUAUACAAUUGUAUGUUGUCGGUUACAUUUCUGUUAGAAAAAAUACUCAAUUGCAGAAUAUACUGAUGCUUUUUAAUCGUAAUGAAUCAUUAUUUAAAAUGUAAAUGUACGUUCAUGGAAUUUUCUCGGGUGCCCUACUGCGUUCAUAUAGUAUAAACUCAAGAAAAAAUAUAUCAAUCCUUAAAUAUAUUCAUUAUAUACGUAUCGUUAACCUGCGGACAAUAGAUAUCGCAAGAUGCGCUUGUCAGCAUUCCACUUGGCAAUACGGCCGCAUUCCACUUUGCUGACGUCACGUCAUAACACAUUACUGCGCUAUGUUAAGAUGACGUCAGAAAACAAAGUAGUGCGUAAUUUAAAUGUUAUUUAGUAUGUAAUAAUGUGACUUAAACCAGUAAUAAAUAUAACAAAAUGGUUAUUAGUACUGCGUUUUGAUCCGAAGGGUCGUGUUGGAAUUUACGGAUAUUUUGCAGAUUUUGCAAAAAUGCAAUUGAGUUGAAUACAUUACAACCUUCCAGAUAAAAAGCUGUAUUAAUUACUCCAUUAGACUUGUUUCAUUCCUUGUUCUUUUUCCAGUAUUGUUGAUGUAUGUAAAGUAGUUGUUGCUCAUUCCAGUUACUUUUUUAGACAACUUAUAAAUAUAUUUCAUUUUAAACAAUGCUGUACCGUGGUAAAGUUUAUAUAGUAUAUAUUACUAUGCACUAUUAUUCUGUUAUUCUCUAUAGUUGAUUUAUUUUUUGCCAUAUUUAUGUUGUUAAUGGCUAAAGGCUAUUUUAUGCCGAAUUGCUAUAAAAUUUGAAACUUCAAACUUGUUGUUGUUGUUUUAUAGAAAUUAAUGCUCGGAAUACAAUAACAAAUUUCUUCAAGAACGGCCAUAUUCCAUUGCCUGUUUGGUUUUGGUAGGUAUGUCAUUAGGCGCCAGUAUAGGUCAAAAAUGGUGAAAACAUAGUGAAAACAUAAUUCUGAGUAUUAUAAUAUAAAUAUCUGACAUAUGUUUAUUUAGCUAAACCAUUCGGAACACCUUGACCAUUUCCCAUCGAAAACAACAUCGGAGGUAUGCCGGUACAUCAAGGGAAGUAGUUCGUAUUUAUUUAUUUUUAAUUAAUUGUAGUGUUUUAACGUGUAUUUUGUAUUUUUAAGUUUAGAACGAUUGCCAGUGAAGCGUGUUAUUGCAUAACUAAUUAAGAAUCCCACAAUAAAGUUUAACAGCUAAGUUGCAAUUACUACGCGACCUACUUGCAUCGGAGUUAAAUGUAAAGAUUUCUGAAUUGUAUUGAAUCAAUCAAUAGUUCGUUAUGUCUACAUGCGAAGAGCUGUUACGUGAUACAUUCGUUGUACAAUUAAUUAAAAUGGUGAUACCUAAGUUUGAUAUUGUUUAAAAGGAUUUUAAACGUAGAUAAAGAACAUGUAAAUAUAUACCAGCCAGAACGCGCGAUAUUUUGCCUUUGAGCAUAAUUAUUACUAAUAAAAUAAUUAUUGGUAAAUUAGCUAAUUGACCUAUUGAUAUCAUUGGUAUGCGUGAUGUUUUAAUUAACUUAUUUUGCUGUGACGUCAUGUUUAUGACGUUAAAUUAGUUUUCAGCAUUUGAACCGCAUGGCCAUGCUUUUAAAAGCAUAUUUUUUCUCAAUGUUAAGGUUAUCAAUUUAUCAUGAAAUGUUCAGCAUUUCACUUUAAGAUUCUGUUAAAGUGAUAGUUUACCCGUAUUGCUAAAACGAAACUGUAGCAGUAGCAGCAGCAGCAGCAGUAGCAGCAGCAGUAGAAGUAGUGGUAGUAUUAGUAGUUGUUGCUCUUGUUUCAGAAGUUGAAGUAGUAUUAGAGGUAGGGACAGUAACAUUAGUAGUGUUGAUAAUAUUUUUACUGUCAGAAGUAGUAGUUGUUCUGGUUUCGGUUGUUUUUUGGUUGUUGUAGUACUAGCAGUAGUUGUUGUAGUAGCAGUAGUAGAAUGUACUUGAAUUCAGAUCGUUAGUAAGUUCAUAACUGUUAUGUUAUGAAGAACGACUGCAUGUGUUCUAACUAUUUAUUAUUGAUACAUAUGAUAUUGGUGAGGAUGGUACAGCUCUGACUGCUAGAGAUAAACUGACCGCCUGUGUUGGCUGGCUGGCCUUAUCAUACAAGGUGAACUAUAAAUAGCGGGAGGAAUUAAUUCAUUGCCGUAUAAUAUUACAUCUCCCUUCUUUACAAACAAAAGAUAUUAUCAAUAAAUAUAUAUGUGAUUUGAUAUCAAAUUAUUUAUAUUUAUUUAUAAAGGAAAAGAGAAGGAAUUAUUCAAUGUUAGGGUUAUAAUAGCAGGAUUUGAAUUUCAUCGGAAAUUUAUUAAAGGUUGUCAGACUAAUUUAAACAUCAAACAACUAAUUUAGAUAAGUGAUUCAAUCAGCUUACAAGCGAAAUGAACAUCACAUGGAUUCAAUUACUUUUGGUUUUACGCCCCUUCCUGACCUGGUCACGUACAGAUUGUGAUUGAUACAUGGAGAGAAAGUACUGCCAAUUAGAGGGCUUUCCGAAUCUUUGAUGUCAGACUGGGUAGGUGUUUGACCUAAAGGCAUUUCCUGUAUUUCUGGCUCUGCAAAUUGACCAUGGCAGGGCUCAUUGGUCUUUAAUAGAUCCCGCCUAGUUCGUGUGUACACAGACCCAUCUGGGCAUUGAACAGUGUAUGAUCUUUCAUUUAACUUGUCAACUACAGUGGCUGGUCUCCAAGUUUUAUUUAAUUGUUGGAUCAUUGUAUUUUCUCCAUAUGUUAAGGGCUAUAGUGACCUUGCUUGUCUGUCAUAAUAUUUCUUCCCCUUCUGUUUGCUAUCUUGAAUACCCUGCCUGACUAAAUUAGGAGAUAUCACCUUGGGCAUCAGAUUUUCCUUAGAUGUUGGGAGGAUAGAGCGCAAUUGUCUGCCCAUAUUUAACUGUGCAGGGGAAUACCCUGACUCAAGAGGGGUGGUCCGGUAUUCUAAUAUGCCAAUAAAAGGAUCACGCCCAUCGUCCUUAGCCUUUGUAAGGAGUUUCUUACAAACUGACACAUAUUUCUCAGCUAGACCGUUUGAUUGACUGUGAUAGGGACUAAUUGUCUGGUGAUUGAAAUCCCAUUCUUUUGCAAAAUCAGCGAACUCCUGAGAGAUAUAACAUGGACCACCAUCAGAUAUUACCUUCUCACUAA